rnacentral:lncRNA from 1 species
UUUGCAGAGCAUUGACAUGUGGACACAUCAUGGAUGUUAGCUAACUCUAUUGACAACGCUAGCUUGGAACUGAAGGUUCCCACUCUUGCUAGUAUUUUAAAGGGUCCAAUAUGACAACAGAUUAAUUUUUCCUUCUUUCUAAAUCUCAUGACACCCUUAAUCGGUGACACAUUUAGGAAUAUGUUGUCUCCUGUCUUGAACUCUAGAUCCCUCAUUCUACUGUCUACAUAAUUCUUUUAUCUAUUUUGGGCAGUCUAGAGGUUCUUCAUGAGUCUGGACCAACUAAUUUUCUAUACACAAUUUCUUUUCAACAUAUCAGAGAUCUACAAGGUUCGCCAUAUAAGGUGUCAUAU